GGGAAACCAAGCUGCCGGUUGGUGAGGGUCACCAGUAGCACCAGGUCAGGAUGUGGGGAGUAAUGAGACCAUGGCCAUUGCCACUAUGAGGAAUGACAGACUAGGUGAGAAAAGGAGGAUACAGCAGACUCCACAAGGGAGAAAAAAUGAGAAAGGCCACAGGGCCCCAGAUAGGGGCAGAAAUGGUGCCCUUUACUCCGUAAUUCUCAAUUCCAGCUUUCUCGAGGUGUCCUUCCUCUUCCUGCCUUUGGCCUCUGGGAUUUAUCCUAUUAUUAAUAACCCUAUUAAUAAUAAUUAUUAUUAUUAACAUUAUUCUGUCUUAUUGAGGAUAAUCUUACAAUGAAAAUUCCUUUAGCUUGAACCUGUGUGAGUAGAAAUAUAUUCCUCAAACCCCAAAGAGCCUUGACUAAAGUAGUGACCUAUGUGAGCACCACGGGAAAUGAAAAUCACUCAACAUUUAGUGAAGGAGGUUGUGAUCAUAAAAGCUGGCUGAGAGAUCCACAUGGGGCAUCCUUAAGGUGUCUCCAGUUGAGUUCAGCAUCCCUGAAGCUAUGCUUCCAUAGUGCUCCAGUGCUCUGUGCAUUUCCAAGGGUGGCAAAGAUGAAUAAAUCUCUGCUAUAAUUCCAGAACCUUCUAUGUGUUUCCAAAAGCAAAAGAAAUGAAUACAUUUCUGGUGUUGGUGUUGUUUGAGGAUGUGGCUAAGGACUUCACUUGGGAGGAGUGACCAGAUCUGGAUGAUGCUUAGCAGACCCUGUACAGAGACAUGAUGCUGGAGACCUACAGCAGCUUGGUAUCCUUGGGACACUGCAUUACCAAACCUGAGAUUAUCUUCUGGAGCAAGGAUCAGAGCCAUGGACAAAAGGGCCCAAAACACAGCCUCCCAGCCAUGUGAAGGUGCCUGCUACCACUUUGCCUUGUGCCAUAAGUCAGAGUUCCCUGAGACCUCCCCAGAAUCAGAUGGUGCCAUGCUUCCUGUACAGCCCAGACAAUCGUGAGCCAGUUAAACCUAUUUUCUUUAUAAAUUAAAAAGAAAAGAAAACAAGUGUAAGCAAGGAUAUGAAGAAGAGAACCCUUGUACACUGUUGGUGAAAAUGAAAAUCAGUGCAACCACUAUGGAAAAUAGUAUGGAGGCACCUCAAAAAAUUUAAAUCAGAAAUACCAUACGAUCCAGCAAUCCUACUUCUGGAUAUAUAUUCAAAGGAGUUGAAAUCAGGGUCUUGAAGAGAGAUCUGCACUUUUACAUUUAUUGCAGCAUUAUUCACAAUAGGCAAGAUAUGGAAUCAACUUCAGUGUCCAUCAAUGAAUAAAUGGACAACGAAAUUGUGAUAUUAAAAAAAGUAUAUACUUAUGGUAUAUGAUACAAUGUUUUGAUAUAUGUAUACCUUGUAGAAAGUCUAAAUCAAGCUAACUAACAAUGAAUUACCUUGUUUUUAUCAAUUUAAAAGUAAUUUUUUUUUUUUGACACAGAGUCUUGUUCUGUCACCCAGGCUGGAAAGCGGUGAUCUCGGCUCACUGCAAUCUCUGCUUCCCGGGUUCAAUCGAUUCCUAUGCCUCAGCUUCCCGAGUAGCUGGGAUUACAGACAUGCACAACCACACCUGGCUAAUUUUUGUAUUUUUAGUAAAGAUGGGGUUUCACCCUAUCUCUCAGGCUUGUCUCGAACUCCUGGCCUCAUGUGAUCGGCCCACCUCAGCCUGCCAAAGUGCUGGGAUUACAGGCAUAAGCCACUGCACCCAGCCAGUUUUUUUUUAAAAGUAAAGAUAAUUAUAUAUAUGUGUGUAUACACACACACACAUACAUAUAUAUAUAUACACACAUGCACACACACAAUGGAAUGUCAGCCUUUAAAAAGAAGGAAAUCCCGCCAUUUGCAGCAACAUUGAUUAAACUGAAGGUCAUUAUGCUAAGUGAAAUAAGCCAGAAACAGAAGGACAAAUACUGCGUGAUCUCACUUAUAUGUAAAAUUUAAAGUAGUCAAAUUCAUAGAAGUAGAUUAUAGAACGGCAGUUGUCAGGGGCUGGAAGGAGGUUGAAAAUGGGAAGGUGAAAAUUUUAGUUGUGCAAAAUAAGUAAGUUCUAGAGAUCUACUAUAGAGCAUAGUGCUGACAGCUAACAAUACUGUAUUGUAUACUUAAAAUUUGCUAAGAGGGUAGAUAUUAUGUUAAGUGUUCUUGGUACCAAAAUAAUCAUCAUGAUUAUCAUCAUAAUGGGGGCAAGAGAAAACUUUGGAAGGUUACAUGUAUGUCUACGGCCAUGAUAGGUGAUGGCAUCAUAAUGUAUAGUUUUUUCCCAAACUCACUGAGAUGUAUACAUUAAAUAUGUACAGUCUUUUAUAUGUCAAUCAUCCCAUAAUAAGUGGGUUCAAAAAUGAAAGAAAAUAAUUCUAGUUUCUUUAUUAUUAUCAGACUUUUAGAGCCUUUGGAUUCUUAAUUAUAUAAUAGGACUCUCUCAAGGAAAAAAAUAAUAUUCAAAUAUUCAAGGAGCCAAUUAAAAAAAAGCUUUGGAGAUGUUGAUCAAGGGCUUAUUUCUGAGCUAGUUUAAUUACCUUUCAUAUUCUGUUUAGGACAAACUACGUUGUACCCUAUGCUGACAUGCAUGAAAAAGAAGAGACACGCUAAUGGGAGAGGGAGAGCGUAGGACAUUAGGGUGGAGGUAGAUAUACUUCUCCCCUUUUCUUUUCAUUUACUUCCAGCCUAACAGUCAAGUGAUCUGCCAUGUCCCAGGCACUGAAUGAUGUGUUAGUGACACAGAGAUAAACAAGACAAAAUUCUUGUGUCCAGAAAAUUCUAGUCACAGAGAAAGAAAAGUAAUGAUACCUCAAUACAUGGUGGACCCCCUUAAAAGGAGAAAAGAAAGCUUCCUGGCAAAGAAGAUGCCCAGGGUAUCAGGAAAGGGGUAGACGGCAUUUUGAAUUUAUGUAAAAAGUAAGCAAGCCCACCCCAAAGCUCUUCUAAUUUUAAAAUUGACAAGUCAUACCAUCUGCACGACCCUUUCCAAAUGUAUCUGCUGCUGCCCCUCUGUUGGCCUUCCCAAAGCCACAUGGUUAACUUUUGCUACAGAACAGAGAUCAGCAGAAAUAAUUGACAUAGAUUAAGCUACAGGCAGGUUGUAUAGAUCAUGGGCCCAGAUCUAAUUCCUGCCUGGUCCACUCAAUUACACAGGAGCUUCUUACUGGAGAAGCAGGUGUAGUUACUGUAAAUAAGUUCGAUUUUGGGCAUGGAUGUCAUUGGGUAACUGCAUUUGCCAUGCUUGGGUGAUACAUAAGGUAGCCAUCAACGGCAUGAUUGUGGAACUCACAAAGAUAUAGCCAGCCUUUCCUGACAGUCUGGUAUCUUCAAGGCAGGCUAGGAUAGGAGAUAGAAAAUGCACUGAUAGACUAUCAGGAGGCUGGAGUGCUAGUCCUGGCUCUGUCUUUGAUUCAUUGUGUAACCUUGACUUAAAUCCUUUCCCUUUGCCAGGUCCAUUUUCCUUUCUAUAAAAUAAAAAAUUAGAUUAAAAUGCCAAGAUAGACAAAGAGGGCAGAACAGUGGUAGAUAUAUCAAGAAUUGAGUUAAAUAGAAGUGAGUUUAAAUCCUGACUCUACUUAUGUAACCACCCUAGGUCUCAGUUUUAUCAUCUACACAAUAGGAAUCACAAUUGUUCCUACUCUUCUAUGAUAACUUAAGAUAAUGUCUAUUACAGGCCUGGCACAUAGUAGUCACUCAGUAAGUAUUCAUUAUUAGCAUGGCCAUUAGUAUUAAGAUUCUGAGGUCAUUUAUUUAUUCGACAAGGUUAUUUAAAUACCCUUUAUAUCUUAGGUACUGCACUAAUUUUUAAAGUAUGUUACUUAUCUAUUGCUGUAUAACGAAUUACUUGAAAACUUAGUAGCUUAAAAUACAAGCAAAUAUUUAUUAUCUCAUAGUUUCUAUGCGUCAAAACUUAGCUGGAACCUGGUCCGGGCUUAACUGGGUUCCCUGCUUCAAGGUCUUUCAUAAGACUGUAAUCAAAGUAUUGGCUGGGACUGCAGCCUUAUCUGAAGGCUCAACCGGAAAUAAGUAUUCCUUACAGGUUGUAGAACAAAGGGCCUUGGGUCUUUGUUAGCUUGCGUCGUUCGUUGCCAUGUGAGCCUCUCCUUAGGGCAGCUCACCAAGUGGCAGCUGGCUUCCCCCAGAGACAGUGAGCAAGAGAACCAGAGAAGGCACACAAGACAGAAGUCACUAUCUUUUUGUAACCUAACCUUGAAAGUGAUAUUCCAUAUUUUUUUUGUAUUUUAUGCAUUAGAGUGAGUCAAUAAGUCCAUUCUUCACUCAAGGGGAGGGAAUUGCACAAUUAUAUUCAAUACCAGGAAGUGGGGAUCCAUUGAGGGUCACGUUAGAGGCUGCCUGCCACAUAGGGGUACAAACAUGGAAUAAGUCACAGCUGCAUUCAAGAAACUUAUAUUCUAAUGGGGGAGACUAAGAUGGAAAGUAAUAAAUGUAAACAUAGGAGUUUGCAGGGGAUAAAGAGAGGGCACAAAGAAAAGAGUGAUUCCACAUGGUGAUGGUACAUGAUGGUUCUGCACUGAGGGGUAGGGGGAUAAUGAGGUCUGACACUCAAGAGUGAAAGAAGCAAGACCAGAACCCAGCUCAAUUUCUAGCUCUGUGAAUAUUACAAAGUCUCUGGCCAUUCUUUCCACAUUGAAUGGCGAAUACCCUUGCAUAAGGUCCCAGGGUUAAGAAUUGACAGAGCCAGAAUUCGAAACUAGAUCUGUAGAAAGUCAGGCUCAAGCUCUUACUAAUGCCAGCUUAUUGCCGUUUUCUCCCGAGUCCCCAGCUGAUACAGUGUGGAUACUUGUCUCCUCCAAAUCUUAUGUAAAUGUUUGAUCUCCAGUGUUGGAGUUGGGGCCUGGUAGGGCAUGGUGGGGAGUUUGGUCCUUGGGGGUGGAUCCCUCAUGACUGGCUUGGUGCCUCAUGAGAGUAGAAUGCUGGAUGCCAGUGACAGGGAGCAGGGGAAAAGGGGGAAUUGCUAUUCAACGGGUGUAAAAUUUCAGUUAUGCAACAUGAAUAAGUUCCAGAAAUCUGCUGUACAACAUGGUGCCUAGAGUCAACAAUACUGUACCGUGCCCUUAAAAUUUGUAUAAAAGGGGAAGUCUUAUGUUAAAUGCCAUUACUACAAUAAAAAAAAGUGGGGGUUGUGAAGGAGGGAUUUAGUUUCCCAAAUGACCAAGUGUUGAAACUUAGUGACAAAAUGCCUGACUUUGCUCAACCUUACUGUCUUCAACUGUUAAAUGGGUCUAAAACAGCAGUUACCUUAUAGGGUGAUCUGAGGAUUCGAUGACAUAGCCCAUGUAAAUAUUUGGCUUUGCACAUGAUAAAGGUCUAGUGAAUGUUUGCUGUUACUGUUUUUUGUUAGCAGCAGCAGCCGUAGCCUUAUUACUCCAGCACCCAAACAGGUGCCAAGAAUUGAUGCUCUCCCAUCACAUAUUACUUUGCGCAGCAAUUGUUUCCAGCCAGCUAAAGCAACAAGGCUGAAUGGCAAGUCAAAA
rnacentral:lncRNA from 1 species